AUACCUGCUAGGGGAGAUACCAUGAUCAUAAGAUGAUCAUGAAUCUGGUUUUCCCAGGGCAAGGCUCAUCUAUUACAGUGUGGAUGGAUGUACUGACCUUUAAAUGUGGGAAACUUGGCAUAAGUUGUGUUAGUCAGGGACUGUAUUAAUAGUCUCCCCUGU
rnacentral:snRNA from 14 species